GGACAGGAAGCCUGAAAUUAUGCAUGUCAGAUCCCUCUAGGCUAACUAUGCUGAUCUUGUACUGGAUACAGCCCACAACAGUCGCCUGACUCUCGGGUACCUAUUUACUGUUAAAGAACAGUGGCAUCAGGUGUAGGGAAACGUGAAAUAAAAUAUACACAAGAACAAAAUCCAUUAUUUUAUUCAUUAUUCAACGGCCAUGAAGGCAUAAGUUACCCAUUACAGAUAACGAACAAUGCUCAACAUGAUAACAAAUAUUAUAUAUGCAAAACUGAAUUUUAAUUAAAUAUAAAAUAAAUAAAUUAAUUUACCAUUAAAUGAAAAUGUAUAUAUGUAUGAACACAGUAAAUCAAUGAAAAUUGUGAAAUGAAUAAGUGUCGAGAAAACAAAGUGAAUAAUGCCUCCUAAUAAUAUUAUUAAGAACUAUAAUUGAAUGUGAAGCCUAAUAGUUCAUUAAGAACCAGCAGUAAACUGAUAGCAAAUUUGUAGAGUAGACGACCCACAUUUGAAUUGAUAACACAUUUCAAAUUUUUAUUAGGUCCGUGCUGAGUUUUCAGGUAAUACUUAUGAAAUGAUGAAUACAUACAAAUACUACUGCAUUUAUAUACAAAAUGAAGCAUAAUCACCUGGUAGCUAGGCUAUUAGGCUGCACCUUAUAAAUGUUUAUUAACAAAAAUGACGCAGUGGACAAUAACAACAAAUAAAUAAAUAAAUAAAUAGAGUUCAUAACUACUACCCAAAAAAGACCUCGGAAGAAACAUUGAUGACGGGCAAAUGUCUCACAUUAAAGUUUGAUUUGAAACAUUUAUCCUGUUAUAACAACAGGAUAGUUAUAUCCUGUUCCUGUUAUAACAACAGGAACAGGAUAUAACUAUAUCCUAUAACUAUAUUAUGGCGGGAACCACAUUCAAAGUGCCCGCCAAAGGGAGCAUUUCAUACCUUAGGCGGAGCUGGGCCCUGAUUGGUGGACGGUGACCGUGUGCGGCUCGCCCGGGCCCGCCUGGCCGGCAGGGAGAGACAGAGAGCAACCGCACCUGAGCAAGCACGUACCUGAUACUUCAUCCACUUGCAUCUGGGAUACUCAUCUACUGGCUGACGUAUAUAUAUAUAUAUUGGGACAACCUCAAGUACUACCUGAGGAGCCUAGCAUCGCUUCAGCUACCCUCCCAGAUGACUAUACAGCUCAAGCAUGGAGAUCUUCUGUCCUGAAGAGUGAGCCUUGGCAGGCUCGGCCUCCUAUGGCGUUGGAGAGGAUCCACUUGCUGCAAUGAAAUAAUCUACUGAGAGAGAGACAGACAGACUAAGAGAGCAAACAACAACUGGCUUACUUGGGAUGAAGGAUGACCUCCUGGACAGGGAUGAGGAUGCCUUGACCUCCACUCCUGGUCGUCUCCCCCAGCCUGACCAUCAGGUCUGAUGGUUGGCGCCUGCCAGACACAACAUGUCGUGUUGUCAUUAUAAUAGUGUGGCCGCACCACAUAGAGGCAGAGGAGCGUAACUGACCCAUUGACACAGUGGCCGGCGGUCAGCAUGUAGCGGUCAUUGAUGACUGACCCGCCACAGAAGGUGAAGCCUGUACUCGCGGUCACGAUGGCUCCCAUCCACGGGAACUGAUUAAUGUCCGUCGGCUGCCCUCCUACGAUCUUGGAGGUCAGACGUAGGCCACACCCUACAAAUUACUAACUGCACGACGACUUCUGGAUGAGCUCCGGAUGAACGCUGUGAAACACCGCCCCGUCGAACACUGAAGACUUGGUCUCAUUCCGAUUGCUGCUGUGGCUGCUGUUGUCACCACUGCCAUUCUCUGCAUCACCAACGGUGUCGCUUAUUUCUGCAGGAAGAUAAAAUAAUGGGUCACUGUCCGGCAGGUGGGGACAUCCGCGGCACGAAUUUGAUCUUCUGGACAUAACGUGACAGAACCACUGAAGCAGGUAUCGGGAUCUUCCUCUCCGGUACCAAGGCUGGGAUUGUGGGAGUGGGACGGGAGCUUGGGACAUGUGUAGCGUCACGCACCCGCUCCUUAUCUCAGUAUCUCCACAGGUAAAGCUCCUCCAGUGCUGUGCCACACACCUGUUUUUUUUAAUGGUUUUAAGUUGAA
rnacentral:lncRNA from 1 species